GUUAUUUUAGCCUGUCCUGGCCCCCCACAUGCCACACUCGUCGUCGCCCUGGUGUAAACAAAUAUUAAUAACACAAAUAUGGAAGUGGAAUUCAGCAAAGAGGACUUUCUGCUGCCAGAAACAAAGUAUGAAUAUUUGGACCACACCGCCGACGUGCAACUCCAUGCCUGGGGCACCACACUGACGGAGGCCUUCGAGCAGUGCGGCGUAGCAAUGUUCGGGUAUAUGACGGAACUGGAGUACGUGUCCGUGGAGAGCUGCUACGAGAUCGAGGCCAAGGGCGAUGACCUGGAGGGACUACUCUUUCACUUUCUCGACGAGCUGCUAUUCCUGUUCUCCGUUGAACCGAAUCUCGUGUGCAAAAAACUGGAAAUCACCAAAUUCGAUCUGGAUACCUUCGAGAUUGUCUGCCGCUGCUACGGCGAACCCUUCGAGCUGGGCAAACAUCCGCAGGGCACCGAGGUGAAGGCAAUCACCUACUCGGCCAUGCAAAUCGUACAGGAUGCGGAGCAGAGCAACUUUGAAGUGUUUGUUAUAAUUGAUAUUUGAGGAGAGACGACUGGCUGGCAGCGGAUCCCCGAUCCAGAGUGAUUUUACCUUUAGGCUUUGUGAAUUUGCAACGUGUUGGAUUCCCAGACAUGGAAACCGAAUUUCCAGGCCACAGUUCAAUGCACUUUCCUGCCGAUGCAGCCUUCAAGUAUUGCCUUACAGUAGUUCAAUGAUAGAUU
rnacentral:misc_RNA from 1 species